rnacentral:rRNA from 1 species
GACGAACGCUGGCGGCGUGCUUAACACGUGCAAGUCGAGCGGUAAGGCCCUUUCGGGGGUACACGAGCGGCGAACGGGUGAGUAACACGUGGGUGACCUGCCCUCAGCUCUGGGAUAAGCCUGGGAAACCGGGUCUAAUACCGGAUAUGACUCCAUGACGCAUGUUGUGGGGUGGAAAGCCUUGUGCGGCUGAGGAUGGGCCCGCGGCCUAUCAGCUUGUUGGUGGGGUGAUGGCCACCAAGGCGACGACGGUAGCCGGCCUGAGAGGGCGACCGGCCACACUGGGACUGAGACACGGCCCAGACUCCUACGGGAGGCAGCAGUGGGGAAUCUUGCGCAAUGGGCGAAAGCCUGACGCAGCGACGCCGCGUGAGGGAUGACGGCCUGG